UCAGAGAAGGAAGAGCAGGCUGGACCUGGAGUCUGAAGACGAUAACCACAGCUAACAUUUACUGAGCACUUACUAAGUGCCCAGCCUUCGGUGAAGGACUCAACAAGGAUGAUCCCACACGAUAACCUUAUGAAGUAGGCACUGAUAUCAUCCCCACAUUACAGCUGACAAACUGAGGUUUGAAGAGGUUAAGUGACUUCCCCAAGGUUCCUGGAAUGUAUUGGAUGGUGGCCUCCAAAAAAAGACAGAAAAGAAGACAGAGUGAAGCCUCGGGAAGACGGAGGCAGAGAUUGGAGUGACGUGGCCACAGGAAGUGCCAACCACCACGGGAAGCUGGGAACAGCAAGGAGUGGAGCCUUUGAAGGGAACACGGACAGCCCUGCCAGCACCUAGAUUUCGGAUUUCUGGCCUCCAGAACUGUGAGGCCAUCAUGGAGCUUUUGGACCUCACCACAGGUGUUCUUCUGAGUCGAAUCUUUCCAGAGCUGGGCCUUCCUGCCUAUCACACCGUGUUCAGUACUGCCUCCUAAAGUCACUCUGAGUUGUGUCUCCAGGAAAUGAGAGGGUGUCCCCACCUUGUCCCGCACUCACCCUCCAUCCUUGCACGUGGGGGCACUCCUUCCCUCACGACAGUGCCCAUGGGAGCAACCUAAGAAAGAGCCAACCUAUAUGGGAUUUGGAUGUCUGACCUUGGCCAAUUAGUACCUUGCUCGGUGUAACCAACUGAGUCACAGAUUCAAUUCAAUUCAGCAAACAUUUAUCAAGCCUCUCAGCGCCAACCGAUUCCCGUCUGUUCUAGAAGUGCAACGAAGCUCAGCCUUG